AUUGAACGCUGGCGGCAUGCCUUACACAUGCAAGUCGAACGGCAGCACGGGAGUAAUUCUGGUGGCGAGUGGCGAACGGGUGAGUAAUACAUCGGAACGUGCCCAGUAGUGGGGGAUAGCCCGGCGAAAGCCGGAUUAAUACCGCAUACGACCUACGGGUGAAAGCGGGGGAGUCGCAAGACCUCGCGCUAUCGGAGCGGCCGAUGUCAGAUUAGGUUGUUGGUGGGGUAAGGCCACCAAGCCGACGAUCUGUAGCUGGUCUGAGAGGACGACCAGCCACACUGGGACUGAGACACGGCCCAGACUCCUACGGGAGGCAGCAGUGGGGAAUCUUGCGCAAUGGGCGAAAGCCUGACGCAGCGACGCCGCGUGAGGGAUGACGGCCUGG
rnacentral:rRNA from 1 species